GAUGAACGCUGGCGGCGUGCCUAAUACAUGCAAGUCGAGCGAACGGACGAGAAGCUUGCUUCUCUGAUGUUAGCGGCGGACGGGUGAGUAACACGUGGAUAACCUACCUAUAAGACUGGGAUAACUUCGGGAAACCGGAGCUAAUACCGGAUGAUAUUUUGAACCGCAUGGUUCAAAAGUGAAAGACGGUCUUGCUGUCACUUAUAGAUGGAUCCGCGCUGCAUUAGCUAGUUGGUAAGGUAACGGCUUACCAAGGCAACGAUGCAUAGCCGACCUGAGAGGGUGAAUGGCCACACUGGAACUGAGACAAGGUUCAGACUCCUAAGGGGGGGAGCAGUAGGGAAUCUUUCGGCAAUGGCGAAAGCCUGACGGAGCAACGGCGCGUGAGUGAUGAAGGUCUUCGGAUCGUAAAACUCUGUUAUUAGGGAAGAACAUAUGUGUAAGUAACUGUGCACAUCUUGACGGUACCUAAUCAGAAAGCCACGGCUAACUACGUG
rnacentral:rRNA from 1 species